rnacentral:rRNA from 1 species
UACAGAGGUGGCAAGCGUUGUUCGGAAUUACUGGGCGUAAAGGGCGCGUAGGCGGCCUUCUAAGUCAGACGUGAAAUCCCCCGGCUUAACCUGGGAACUGCGUCUGAUACUGGGAGGCUAGAGUGCGGGAGAGGGAUGCGGAAUUCCAGGUGUAGCGGUGAAAUGCGUAGAUAUCUGGAGGAACACCGGUGGCGAAGGCGGCAUCCUGGACCGACACUGACGCUGAGGAGCGAAAGCGUGGGGAGCGAACAGG